UUUUAAAUUUCAAGGAUAAAGAAAAAAUUCUACAAGUAUCCAGACAGAGAAAGCAAGUUACCUAUAAAGGGGCAAAAGUCAGGCUGACCUCAGAUUUUUCUCUUGCAAUUCUAAAUGCCAGAAGACAAUGGAACAAUAUCUUCAGAGUUUUAAGGGAAAAUAAUAUUGUGCCAAGAAUUAUAUACCCUGCCAAGUUAUCAUUUCUGUACAAGGGCACCUGGAAGACAUUCUCAAAUAUGCAGAGGUUAAAAGAGUAUGUCAACCAGGAACCUUCCCUGAAAAGUUUGCUGAAUGAUUUACUGCAGCAAACAGAGAACAUAAACUGAAGUAACUCACAAGUAGGGAGGCAAUUGUAUGAAAGAAUUAAUGUUGUUUUUCAGUUAGCCUGGAAUAACAAACUUGCCACAAGACACAAAUUAUCCAGAUCCCAGGAAACCAAAGAAGAUAUCAAUAAAGCUAUACAGAUUCCAUCCUGAAGUUCAUCAAAAUCCAGCAAGACCCUGAGAUAACAUCAAGGAUGGGAACAGAAACCAGAUUGAGCCUUGGCAAGACCUUGCAUCUGGUUCCUUGCUCAGAGCCCUAAUAGCUCACAUCCCCCUCCCUCCUUUUCACUUCCCACAUUCCAUUCCCUCAACCACCUCUUUAAAAAUCCUCAGUAAAUCUGAGCCUUUGAGAUGGGUUUAGUCUGGCCAUUCUCCCUCAGGUUUACUGGAAAGAUGGAUUUGCCUAACAUCUCUUUUCAGGUCACUGGUAUUCCUGAGUAAAAGCUGACUUCCUAUUCCAUCAGUAA